rnacentral:rRNA from 1 species
UCUCGUGAUUAUAGCAAGGAUGUUACACCUGUUCCCAUCUCGAACACAGUAGUUAAGCUCCUUAACGGCGAAGAUACUUGGCGGGAAGCCACCUGGGAAAAUAGCAAGUCGCGGGUU